CCCGCAGCCACAGAGAGACAGAGAGAGAGACAGGCUCCUGUGUUUGUGUCUCAGUGUUUUAACAGAGACAGUUUACACAUCAACAUCUGUUGAUCCGGAUCCAGGAGAGAGAUCUGAACCCUCCGCGAGGCCAAGAGAGACCCGAGGAUGAUGGACACGCAGGAGGAUUUAGUGACCAACGUCCAAACUGCAGCGGACGCCAAAGAGUCAAAGCGAAGGAGCGAGCUGGAGGAAGCUCAAAGAAUCAGACUGAAGCAGGAGGAGGAGGACGCAAUAUACUGCCAUAAAAUAUUUGGGGAGUUGGACGCAAUGCGUGGGUCGAGAGCUCGGGGGGAGAUGAGUCAGGAGCAGCUGGACGCCCUGAACAGCCAGUUACUGUUAUGUAUCACUGUCAUGGAGGACAAGAAAAAACACCUGCAACAGAGGCUGAAUGAAGUCAAUGAUCUCUACGUGAAGGAGCUGAGGGAGCAGGAGGAGGAGUUGGACCUGAUGAGGAAGACGAUGGAGGAGCAGGAUAAAACCCUGAAACAGACCUACAGGAAGAAGAUGGCCGAGGCUGAGAAAAUGUUUCAGGAGGAAUUUGAAGAAACGCUCAGAAAAGACAUGGUUGAAUGGGAGCAACGAAAAAUCACUGGGGACGAACUGUCGGAGAUGCUGAAGGAGAGGAGUAAGAAGGCAGAGGAGGCGUCUGACGCCAUGAUUAAGAGCAUGAUGAAUGACCUGAAGAUCGAGGAAGGACAGAUUGGAAUACUUCAGGCUCAGGAGACAGAGAAACAACACCAAGACAACAAGAAGGAAACCAGCCCCACCAUCCCAUUGCUGAAGGGAGGGGCCAAAAAUAAUGGAAGGAUCUCCAGAACGCAGACGGUGACACCAAGUCGAAAUGCAAAGUGUUCCACUCAGGAUGAACCGUCUACAAAGGCGAGCCAGAUGUCUGAGGAACUCAAACGCUGCAUCGAGCGAAAGGAACGCUUAGAAAAGCAAAUCAAGCACUUUGCAGUCGCCAAUGCCAAAAAAUACAGGAACGUGCGUCGAAUGGCUGAAAAAGAGGUGAAGGAACUAGCGGAGAGGGCUUUGGCCAUGGACUCACUGAUCUGCCAACAGGUCCUGGGUUUAGCCUGGGAGCGCCCUCCUGUGGAGCUGAUGGAGCCCGUCCAGCCCGAGAGACACCGGCUGUCUCUCAGCGGAUGGACUUCAGAGUGUAGUCAGAGCACGGACAUGGACGGGACAGCGGUGCAGACAGAGGUGGAGGAAGUGACACUGUCGAUGGAGACAGUGAGGAAUGUGAUGGAGCUGCUGUGUGACAAGGCGGGCGUCCUGAUAAACGACAAACUCCUGAACCUGGUGGUUCCCGAGCAGAAGGACAGUCCGACCGUAGUGAAGCUGCGCUCUCUUCUUUGUUCUUUUGGCAUUGAAGAGAACGAUGUGCCCAAGUUGGCUCUUUUCUUAUUAGAUCACAGUGAACGUCAGCGGAGAUCUCAGACUGAGGAGACCACGUCAAUGACUCAUUUGACCUCUCAACUCCAAAGUGCUCUAAAAAGUUUCCUCCAGGAGCACCUGAGGUCCAGAGCUGAGAGCUCAGCACGCCAACAUCAGAGUCUUCGUCUAAAACUCUGGGACGAUCCUUCAGAGGAUAAAACCUACUGGGACAGAAUGGCCACCAUCAUCUCUGAGGACAAACUGCAACUCUGGGACGACACGGAGAACGCACUUAGGCAGUACCAUUGUAUCCUGACCGACAUCUCUGAGCUCAACGCUGACAAUGACCAUCUGCAGAAGGAGAACACAGACCUGCGGAGGCAGCUGGGAGCCAUAAAAGCCACACGAAAUGCUGGAACCCACCCUCCGCUUUGACUCAGCAGUCUAUGGACAGCGUGUGGAGUCAUCAGUUUGUAGCCCAUCUGCUUCAAGGUUGGACAAGGUGUUGUUGCUUCAGAGAUGCUCUUCUGCACACCUUGGUUGGAACCAGUGCUUAUUUGACUUCCUGUUGCCUUUCUAUCAUCUUGAACCAGUCUGGCCAUUCUCCUCUGACCUCUGGCAUCAACAAGGCAUUUUGGCUCACUGGAUAUUUGCUCUUUUUGGGACCAUCCUCUGUAAACCCUAGAGAUGGUUGUGCUGAAAAUCCCAGUAAAUACUCAGACCAGCCCGUCUGGCACCAACAACCAUGCCACGUUCAAAGUCACUUCAAUCACCUUUCUUCAUCAUUCUGAUGCUCCGUUUGAACUUCAGCAGCUCGUCUUCAUCAUGUCUACAUGACUAAAUGUUAAUGAGCUGCUCACACCUGAUUGGCUGAUUAGCUAUUUGUGUUAAUGAGCAGGUGAACAGGUGUACCUAAUAAAGUGCUGGUGAGUGUACUUAAAUACUGCACUUGAGUACAGUUUUGAGAAUUUCCUUUUUGGAGAUACACAACACUUAAAUAACUUUUUUAAAUUGAGAUGAACUACAACAUCAGAGUACUUCAUCCAUGUUAAUGAAUCAGUAAUAAUAAUGACCCUCUAAUAUAACAGUAAAACACUGACAGUCACCUCUCUGCAUUAUGAGUACUUUUACUUUGAAUACUUAAAGUACAUUUAAUUGCUUAUACUUGUAGUGAAGUUUUAAAUGCAGAAAACUGUACUUGCAAUUAAGUAUUUUUAUACUGUGAUUUAAUACUUCUUCUACUUAAGUAAAGUAUUUGAAUACUUCUUUCAGCAUUAGAGUAGUACAGUUUAAGUAGCAGUCCUAGUUGUAGCAGUGUCAGCAUUAGCAGCAGCAGUAGUCGUCAUCACAUUAGGAGUCGGCCUACAAUGACCUUUAUAACUUUCACUUCCUCAUCUCAGAAACAGCACUGCAGAGUUUCUAAGAACAAAGUUUGGCUGUUGUUGCACAGACAAGUUCAUUCAUGUUCAGUACGUUUGGACUUCAUUAUUCUAAUUUUAACCAAGAUUUAAUGAGGUGAAGUGAAACUUUUUUUCUUGUUCCUGUAAUCUUCAGUAUAGAAGCAAUAUUAUUAGGAGUGUGAAUGAUUUCACACUGAUAGUCAGUGCUGUAUCUGAGAAGAUCGAUUCGUCUUUACUGGCAUAAAUACAGCACUAAGUAUUUACAUAAAGAAGGUCAUUUAUUAAUAUGCCAGAACAGGAGAAGUGGGUCGAGUAUGAUUCCCUGAGGAACCCCCCAAAAAUACUAGAAUGUAACUAAGUAUAUUUCAAGUGCUGUGUUUUGGUACAAUUUAGAGGCAUUUGUGUGUUACUUGAAUAUUUCCAUUUUAUACUACUUUACACUUCAGCUUCACUUCAUUUCUCAGAGAAACUUGGUACCUUUUACUUGUGUUUAAGAGCAGCUACUAGUUAUGUUUCACAUUAAGAUCAACUGCAACAUUAAAAUACUGCAUCCAUUUAAAUACAUUAAUUAUAAUGAUCCAGUAAUAUAAAAUAACAUAUAUAUAUAUAAAAUAAUUGUGUAUCGGACUUGGUUGUCUGCAGUACGGGGCCCCGCAGGGGACGGUGCUGGCACCGUUCCUCUUCACCCUCUACACUGCAGACUUUUCAUACGACACCCCCACCUGUCAUCUGCAGAAGUUCUCUGACGACUCUGCCAUCGUCGGCCUCAUCACAGAUGGGGACGACAGGGAGUACAGAGAACUGAACCAGGACUUUGUGGACUGGUGCCUGAGGAACCACCUUCAGAUCAACGCGGGGAAAACCAAAGAGCUGGUGGUGUAUUUCCGCAGGCACAGACUCCUCCCCCCAACACCGGUGAACAUCCAGGGAAAGGACAUUGAGAUGGUGACAUCUUAUAAGUACUGGGUGUUCAUCUUAACAAUAAACUCUGAGGACUAAUGACUCCCAUCCUCUGCAGGAGGAGAUAAAAGCUCUGGAGAGCUCCUUCAGCGAUAGACUGAUUCACCCAAAGUGUGUGAAGGAACGCUAUCGCAGGUCCUUCCUGCCUGCUGCCAUCAGGCUACAUAACCAGCACUGCUCACAGUAAACUGCACCAUGGACACUUUAUUGACACCACACAUUGCUGUCCCCCAUGUUGUUGUUUAUUUGCACAUUCAAUAUUCACUUUGCACUAAAUAUGUUCACUUUAAUCCAUUGCUCACUUUUUAUCCACUGCUCAUUAUUAUUAUUGUUAUUAUUUAUUGCUGUUUUCUGUAUUUUUUGUACUUUUCUGCAUGCCUAGUGUUUUUAAGUUUUUAAAUACUGACAUCUUUAAUCUGACUCUUUCCCUUGACUGCUGUAACACUGGAAUUUCUCAAUUAUGGGAUCAAUAAAUGUGUAUCUUAUCUUAUCUUAUCUUAUCUUAUAACAGUAAAACACUGACAGUCACCACUCUGCAUUCUGAGUGAUUUUACUUUUGAAGUACCUUUUGUUGCCAAUACAUCUGUACUUUUACUUGAGCAGACACUGACACUGUUAGUCAUCAUUUAGUCAGUUAAGAAGAAUGUUACUCACACUGAAUUGGUUAAAGCCCAACCCGCUGACCUAUAACUUGUGGUUACAAAAAGUAGGAGACAUAUAUGAAAUGGAACAAAUAACAUAUGAAGUGAAGCUUCAAAAACCUAAGUUUAUUAAGAGAUGGACUCCAGCUAAGAUGCUAUUACAUAACACAAUAAAAUAAGUUUUCUUUUUAUGACUUAACUUGGAGCAGGGAUCCUUUAUGAAUUUGUUAUAUAUAGUUUUUUUCUGUUUUUUUCCCCCUCUUCCUUUAAUUAAUAGUUUUUUGUUGGGUUUAUUUUAUUUCACCUGUACUUGCCCUCCAUGUUACUGGUCUUGACAAGUUAUAUAAUGGGAAGGAGUGCCACGAGGAUGAUACAAUCCAUGGUGUGUAUGUUGAAAACAUGAUUUGUAACGAACAUUUUGACAAUAUGGAUUGUGGUUUAUGCUUUGUUGAUGGGGCAGGUUGGCAUGGAUGUACCUAAUGAAAUUACGAUGCUGUACUAGGCUGAAGAUGGAGGUUACUUUAUUAUCAUCAUUAAUGUAAUUUAUUGGGUUUUUUUUCAUGUCUGUCCCAUGUCAAAAAAAAAAACAUGAAAUAAAAAGUGAGAAAAAAAAGAAAAGAAUAAUGUUACUUCUCUGUUGGCAUGAAAAACACAGUUGGACUACUUAGCUUUAGAGGGUCAUUCAUUAAUUUACAAGAGGAAGAGUAAUGGGACAAGUAUGAUUCCCCAAAGAAGUGCUGGAAAGUAACUAAGUGUUUUACAAGUGCCAUAUUUUAGUGCAAUUGUAUGUUACUCAAAUAUUUCCAUUUCAUGCUACUUUACACUUCUGCUUCACUUCAUUUCAAACUGUACAUUUGAAGUUCAUUUUGUCGCUAAUACUUCUGUAUUUUUAAGUAAGUGCAAUUUUGAUAGCUGACACCGAUAGUCAUUAAGUCAGAGAAGAAGAAUAUACUUCUUUGUUGGCAUUAAGAACACAUGCUUACUUGAAAAUGGUAGGUCUUUACUAUACAAGAGAAAGAGUAGUGGGCUGAGUAUAAUUCCCUGGGGAACCCCAAAGACGUGCUGCAAAGUACGCAAAGUCCCCGUGGACCAGUUUCCCUGCCAGUGACAAACAUCCCCACAGCAUAAUGCUGCCACCACCAUGCUUCAUGGUGGGGAUGGUGUUUUCAACGUGAUGAAAGGUGUUGGGUUUGCACCAGAUAUAACGUUGUCCUUAAUGGCCAAAAAGUUAAAUUUUAAUCCUAUCUGACCAGAGUACCUUCCUCCAUAUGUUUGAGGAGUCUCCAAUAUGCCUUUUGGCAAAAUCCAAACAUUCUGCCUUAUUAUUUUCUUUAAGGAUUUUCCUGCCACUCGUCCAUAAAGCCCAGCUCUGUGGAGUGUACGGCUUCUAGUGGUCCUACAGACAGAUACUACAGUCUCCUUCAGGGUUAUCUUUGGCUUCUUGGUUGCCUCUCCGAUUAAUGCCCUGCUUUCCUGGUCAGUCAGUCUUGGUGGGUGACUCUUUUGGCAGGUUUGUUGUGGUGGCAUAACCUUUCCAUUUUCUAUUAAUGGAUUUAAUCGUACUCUGUGGGGUGUUCAAGUUUGGGAUAUUUUUCAUAACUCAACAAUGAUCUGUACUUCUCCACAACUUUGCCUCUGACCUGUUUGGAGAGCUCCUUGAUCUUCAUAGUGUUGCUUGCUUAUACAGUAGGUGUUGCACUGGUGUUGACUCUGGGGCCAAUCAGAACAGGUGUAUAUAUAUACUGAGAUCAUGUGACACUUAGACACUUAGAUUGCCCACAGGUGGAUCUUAUUUAACUAAUUAUGUGGCUUCUGAAGGUAAUGGAUGGGGCUUCAUAGCAAAGGGGGUGAAU